rnacentral:tRNA from 1 species
GGACCCUUAGCUCAGUCGGUCAGAGCGGUCGGCCCAUAACCGACAUGUCGAAGGUUCGAGUCCUUCAGGGUCCA